rnacentral:SRP_RNA from 1 species
GGGCAGGCUAUACCGGGAGGUUAGCCGUCUCUUGUAACAGUACAUCGGCUUUAUGACUGGGUUAUGCAGGAGGUGAGGCAUAGCACAGGCUUGUAGGUCUUGGACUCUACUGUGAGAUUCUGUCCUGCAGGAUUGCAGCUGUAGGAAUCGCGUCAGGCCGGGAACGGAGCAGCGCUAACUAUUGUUGUCAAUGCUUGCAGGGUAGCGGAAUUGAGGAAGGUUCAGGAUAAGCCUAUUGGUUUGUUUUGUGUCGAUCCUUUUGUGCCUGCCC